rnacentral:rRNA from 1 species
AUCAUGGCUCAGGACGAACGCUGGCGGCGCGCCUAACACAUGCAAGUCGAACGAGAGAGAGGGAGCUUGCUUCCUCAAUCGAGUGGCGAACGGGUGAGUAACGCGUGAGGAACCUGCCUCAAAGAGAGGGACAACAGUUGGAAACGACUGCUAAUACCGCAUAAGCCCACAGCUCGGCAUCGAGCAGAGGGAAAAGGAGCAAUCCGUCUUGAGAGUCGGCCUCGCCGUCCGUA